ACAGUUACUUUAUAAGAGAGAGGAAGGUUUCGGGGAUGGGGUAUAAAGAGGGCUUUAUAAGAGAGAGGAAGUGUUCGCUUUAGCGUUUUGGCGGUGUAAGAGGGGCUCUAAGGUUGUGUGGCCGUAAGACCUCCAUAUCUCCAAACCCUAUCUAGGGUUUGGAGAAGAUGAGGGUUUUCAUCUGCGAGAUGGAGGGUUUUCAUCUCCCCUUCUAGGGUUUGGGGAGAUGUAGGGAUAUGUGGUAUUUGAAUGGUAUUAGGAGAAUACUCUUGGUGCUCUUAAGUUAUAUUCCUUUAUGGUUUGUUUUUGAUACUAUGAGUUUAUUUUAAUGCUAUAGGACUUUCAUCUCUCCCUCUAGGCAAGAAGAGUUGGGGAGAUGAAGGAUUGAUUAACAUAGAGUGAAGUUAUAUUUUACUUUUUUUUGGUUGCUCUCAAGGUUAUCUUUUAUCUUAUAUUUUUAUGUUGAGGAAAGGUAGAUAAUCUUGAAGAGGAUUAGCAAAACAAGACAUCUUUGAAAGAGAUAUUGAAUUGAAUGGAGACAUGUUUGAAAGUUUUGAAACAUAGAUUGAAUGGAGAAGAUUAGCAAGCAAGAAUAUCUUUAGAACUAGACACAAAGGAGGCACAAAACUACUUUCAACUUGCAUAUUUAAAAUUUUUUGGAAUAAUAUCUUGUUGAUCCUAAGGGUGAACCACAUAAAUGUUGUGUUAUCAUAAAUAUUUUUCAAUUUGUUCUAGGAUGUAAACUUAAUAUCGUGCAAUGACUCACUCGAGUCUACUCGGACUAGCAAGCCCAUAUGCUUGACUCGUCGAGUAAAUUGCAUGGGCUAGGGGCGAGUCCUCACACUACUUGAUGUGGUGAACCACUUAAAUCUUGUGUUUUGGUAUGUGAUUAUUUUAGCAUUAAGGAAUGCAUUGCAUCUCUUACUAAGAAAGAGUUGAGGAAGAUUUGAUAAUGUUGUAUUAGGAUUUCUUUUAAAGAGAGAUUGGAUGUAGAAAUGAGCAAACUAAUAUUUGAAGGUACUUUCAUAUCUCAAAAUCUUCUUCUUUCAAAUAGCUUUGUUAGCGAACCACAUAAAUUAUGUGUUAUCUCAUAAAUAAUAAAUAAUAUUGGGUGUUGUAAAUGGUGAAUAUGCGUUAUUUUUGUUCAAGGAUAACUUAAUACAGUGAACCACAUGAUUUUUGUAUUAUUCUAAAUAAUGAAUAAUUACGAUAUGGCUCCGCAUAUGACUUUUUGUUUUUAUCAAGAUUUGUUGAUUUUUAUGGGUUGUUGAUUUUAUCUUGCACAAUAAAUACAUUUUCAAUUAGGGUUUUGAAGUGUGGCUUUACCAAAUAUUGACAUUGACACCACUGACACAUAUAUCUGUCAUUUUACAUCCAUUCAAUUUAUGUUUUCCUUAUUCACUUGUAUCUAGCAGGGUGUUAGUUAAAUUCCUCAACUUGGAAAUGGGUCAAAUCUCAUUUGGAUGAGCCAUACUUUGCUCUUAUUCUAUUUGUUCUUAAUUUAGAGAUUUGGCCGAAUUGAAUCACUUGAGCUCAAGACUCUCGACAGUUUUUUAGUCCAGGAUUAAACAUGAGUACAAUGAUGGAUGGUCACUUUAUGUGCUCCCAACAUGAUAUUUACAUGCUCUCCAUUAUGCAAUCAAGUUUUUUUAUGUGAGAGUUACAUUGUAUAUCUUUAAAGCUGCAAUAUUGAAGUCAUUGAUCAUUUUUUCUUGUGUAAGUAGUCACAGUCAAUAACCACAUAAAUCUUGUGGUUCUUUGUAUUAUUUCCUUUCAUUCUAGUUUCUAUUGUGUUGUUGCCGGUUAUUGUUAUUUCCUCUUGUUCAUGAACGUGAGUACUUGGCACAACAACCACUCUAGACUUGUAUUUGACCAAGAAGCCUCUUUGUGUAGGGUCGCACCAACAGGUUCAACUUGGCUUAAGGCAAACUUUGCUUCUUAUACUUUUGUCUCUUUUAUUAGACCCGCCCUUGCGUUAUUGAUACAUUAUCUUUUUGACAUGUGGCAGAAAUCCACAUCUUGUAAAAGUCACCCGCUGAACAAGAGCUCAAUUUAUGGACGUCGGGUUGAGAGAGAGAAUGGUGAAGUACUAGUCUCUCCUUUUCAAUCCCCUUCUUCCAUGAAGGAGUGCAAGGCUAGGUGGUCAGGGCAGCGGGAUGCCACAACAUGACGUCUUGAGUUUUAUUCUACUAGGUGUAGGUGGUCAUUCCUGCCAUUCCAUGCCGAACUACACCAAAAAAGAGAUGAAAAAAAAGGAAAAGAAAAACCUCAUUCAUGUGCCUCCAUUUCCAAGCUUGAGUUGGGUACAACUGAUCUUGGUGAGUUCGUUCCAUACUCUCAUUUUGUUUAUUCUUUGUUAUAGUUUUUCAUUAGGGGAACAAAAAAAAGAAAUGAAAUUAUGUAAUAUAUUGUGUACUUUUGGAGAGUCCUUACAAACUAUUUGCAUGAUUGCUUUGAUGCUUUUUGUGUCUAGAGUAUAUGCAUGCUAACUGUUUGAUUAUAUUCUCAUGAGUGAUUUAAAAGAUAAUUGUGACACUUUAUUUUGUAGUGGUCAUCGAUCUAAAAGCCUAUUCAUACUUAUGUUUGCAUUUGUUUCAAGGGAGGUAUUGCGACCACUAGUUAUAGAUGCUUAAAAGGUGCACAACCACCUUAAUAGGCUAGAUUGAACUAGCCUCAUCCAAGGGCCAAAAAUGAACUUUGUUUUUUAUUUUUAAUUGUUAAUUUUUAAUUUGAAUGAUAUUAAUAUGAAAUUUAGAAGUCUAGUUUUAUUUUUAUGCGUUAAAUUGAAUAAAAAUAAUAAAUACUAGUACAUUUUGUUGGCCAUUGUUGAGUUGAUUUCUAUUUUGGGCACACAACAUAAGCCAUAGGCCUCACUACUGCGAUGCAAUCGUGCAACGCAUCAUAACUCCAUAUAUUAAUAUGGAUUGAGCCUUGUUAUCUUUUUGUUUCGCUAUAUGGUCUUUUAAUUUUUUUUAUUUUUUAUUGCACUUGUCAGGUACUUAGUAUUUGGGUGUAUGUUAUGGCUGCUAAGUGCUAAUAUUUCCUUUUGUAUGGUAUCAUGCUUUCUUACUCAAGUACAUGGUAUAUGGACAUAUUUUUAACUAAUUUUAUUUAACAAAUUAAUUAUGUUAGAGAAGAUACAAAAAAAUAUCUUGCCCAUAUGGCAUUUUCAUUUUUACCCUACUUAUUUUUUGUUUGUGUGUGUGUUAAAGGUAAAUUCAUUGAAAGGAAAAAAUGUACAAUGAGCGAUGUACAAAAAAAGAGAAAAAAGAGAAGGACAGAACUACAGAGAGAAGGGCACAAGAAAGAAAAGAAAGGAGCAGGUGAAAGGAAUAGGAGAAACAAAGACAGAGCCCUAUGAUGAAGCUUUGGCCAAUCAUCAUCAACAAUCCCCAGAAUGGUCAUCGCAUGGCAUGUAUCGUUCUCCUUGAAUUUGCAAUCGCAUGAAAAUAUUUAAUAUUAUUGUCUCUGUCCUUUAUCCACUUAGACAUUGACCUUUGAAACCAAUACACUUAUUCCUUUUUGAGAA